UACGUAGGGUGCAAGCGUUAGUCGGAAUUACUGGGCGUAAAGCGUGCGCAGGCGGCUUUGCAAGACAGAUGUGAAAUCCCCGGGCUUAACCUGGGAACUGCAUUUGUGACUGCAUGGCUGGAGUACGGAAGAGGAAGGCGGAAUUCCCGGUGUAGCGGUGAAAUGCGUAGAUAUCGGGAGGAACAUCAGUGGCGAAGGCGGCCUUCUGGUCCAGUACUGACACUCAAGUGCGAAAGCGUGGGGAGCAAACAGG
rnacentral:rRNA from 1 species